UUCUCCUCACUAUCGGUCGUCCCACACUCCAUCUCCACCAUUUCACACAAAAUCCCCAAAUCACAAACAAAAAUCCCUAAUUGGAGAAGACCUUAGUUCCGUCGCCUUCCGUCGCACUCCAUCGCCCAGCUUCCCCUUCUCCACUUCUUCCCUUUCUUUCUCUUCUUUCCAGCCUCACGCCGCCUCCCCCCUCUCUCUCUUGAUCCGCCGUCGUCGUUCAUGCACAGGCGGCGGCUUCGGCCUCCUCCGCGCCUCAUGUUACCGGAGCAGCCUCCCGGCGCCACUCCAGCCCCGGCCACUGCCUCCUCGCCGAACUCCCGGCAGAUUCAUCAAGAUUGUGAAGUUAUCCUUGGCAUGAGGGGUGUGGGCUGUCGGAGCUGCCGACGGAUUCCAGAUAGGAAAGUGUCCACAAAAUCAACUUUCUAACCUUGGGGUUAUUAUCGAAUUCAUUUUGGGGUUUCACGUUCUUUGAUCUACUUUAGCAUUUCUUGUUACUUGGAAGACUUGGGUGACACAUAUUAAACUUACUGUGGCUUGGGGUUGUGAAUUCCAAAUUUGGGCAGAUUCUGUCUUCAAAACAAAUAUGCAUAUGCUUGUAUGUAAAUGUAAAGGAAAGAAGGGUUUGGGAUUCACCUUUUUGAUGUGGAAUAAAGGGUUGUUAGAUUGUAGUGCUUGUCUAUACAAUUAUCUGCAGCUCUCCACCUUCGAUUUCUAUGUGGAAUUGUUGGAAAGAAAGUUUGAUUGUGAUGUUGGUGGGUAAAAAUGAUUGUGAUAUCUAUAUACAUAUACACAAAAGAUGGAAGAUGGCAGUGAACCUUAUCUGGAAGAUAGAAGUGAACCUUAUCUUUCAAAAUAUUCUGUCAGAGGAUAUGAUUUCCUUCUGCCCUCUAAUUAAUGCAGCAUUAAAUGCUUCAUGAUGACAUUUACUCUCUCGAAUCUUUCCAAUGUUAUAUUAAAUUUUCUUUUUUUUUCUUGUUUAUUAUUUUAAUUAUUUGAGUAUUUAUUUACUUGUUCAUUUAAUUUGGUGUAGGUAUAAUCGGUUCAGGUUCGUGGCUGGCCGCGUUGAAGUUCCCGAUUUUUAUUAGAACGCAGGAUGUAUAGAUUAAAUUUUGUUGGACUUUUGUUGGAUGUAUCGGACAUCAAAAUUUUGAUUUUGGGAUCUUAUUUAUUUAUUUAUUUAAAUUUAUUAUUUUCAUA